AUCAGGUCGCAGUUUGCGGCCAGGCCGCGCUUCAGGGCGAAUACGGUCCGGCGUCCGUCGAUAACCUGACGCCACG
rfam:Caulobacter segnis ATCC 21756, complete genome.